UCGUGGAAGUUGUCAGUAGUCGUCCACCCUCCUCACUCUCCUGUGCGCACUACCUUUGCCACUCCACAUUGCAAGUGUUGAUGGUCAGCCCUGACGUGACGUUGUCCGGUCACACCGUGUUGUUCAGACAAAUGGCAGUUUUGUCGCCGUUUAAAGGAGACUGUCGGCGCAAACCAUUCGUAAUCAUUUACGAGAAGCUGACCUUCGAUCAAGAAGACCCUAUUUUGGCCCUGUACAGCAGCGACUACAUCGACGUCGACGGGCCCAAUGACGUUUGAUCGUGGGAUCUACAAAACUGGGUUUCAGAAAUGUUAUAUGGAAUAGGGCUUACCGGUACUUCAGCAUCUUUCUUGGAUAAGUGAGGCUGGUCGUCAGCACCUUCACCCGCUACAGCCUCCGCUGUGCAUCCUGGAAGGAUGAGGAGUAGGCAGAUGAAGACAACUGAGGUCUUCAUGGCAACAGAUCUGAAACAAAAACGCGUCAACUGAUAAUAAAAGCGACUAAAUCAA